ACGCAAACAAUUUUUGUGCCCAUCGUUGGCACGCGUGCUGGAUUGCUUCGAUGGUCUGC
rnacentral:misc_RNA from 1 species